rnacentral:lncRNA from 1 species
AAAUGGGCGACUGAUUAAUUUCUAAUGCAGAAAUUUAAAAAAAAAAAAGGAAAUAUGGAGAUUUUGUGGAAUAUGUAACCCGACUUUUAAAGAUAUUCCGGAUAUAUAUUUGGAACAGUUAACGGGCAUGAUAGGAGUGAAUACGGUAAAAUCGUUUGUUUGUGUAUGAACUAUUUCUAACGUAGUACCAAAUUGUUAAUUGACAAAUAGAGUGAUACUCGGUACUUUUCUAUUACCUUUUAUGAUAAAGGGUUUUGUACGAUAUUCGUAUACCUAUCCUACAUUGAUUCCCUUUUAAGGGCAUGUAAAAGUAGUUGAUAGAACCCCUGAUUGUUUUUACAAAAUAGCACUAUCACAAAUAUUGAAAGUGCAUGUUUGAUUGUUUCAAAGAGAUUCAGAUUAGGUUUUGUUUAAAUAAAGCAUGGUCUUAUUAAUAAGCUCGGGAUCACAUAAUAUUUUUUGAUAUAUCUGCAGUUGCGUAUUAGAGGAUGGUCAUUUAGAGACGUUUCAAUCGUAUCAUAUACGUUGACGUAUCCGCAUCUGCAAAACAGUUUUUGUUCCCCAGCUUUAAUGUUAUGUAAUUUCAAUAAUGCAAAAAGACAACUGAUUAAUUUCUAAUGCCAAAAAUAACAAACAAUUAGGAAAUAUCGAGGAACAUGUAAUUUGACUUUUGAAAAUAUUCUGGAUAUUUUUAUCAGUUUACAGACAUGAAUACGGUAAAAUCGUUUGUUUGUGUAUUAGUUUGUGCUCACUUAGAACCAAAUUGUUAAUUGACCAAUAGAGUGAUACUCAGUACAUUUUUUAAAUGUAUUUACAUGACAUCUGAAGACAACUCGUGUUUCUAUUACCUUUUACGAUAAAACUGCAAAUGAACAAUAUUCAAAGUUCCUUACAUGUAUAUAUAAGUACAUUGUAGUACAUUUGAUUUUUUUUUUUUGUGUUUAUUCAUGCAAGAUCUUGAAAUAUUGUUUAACUAGAUUAUUAAAGGAUUGUGUAUGCUAUUCGUGUACCCGCCCUACAUUUGCCACCUUUUAAUGGUAUGUAAAAGUAGUUGAUAGACCCAGUGGCGAAUCCAGAAAUAAGAGGGGGCCCACUGACUGCCUAAGAGGGGGCCCAUUCCAGUCAUGCUACAGUGAUUCCCUAUAAGUGAGAUUUAUUAAAACGACAAAAAUUAUUAUAUAAGAUACUCAAACGUUUGUUUGUUUGUGUGGAAUUGAAUUGUAAUGAUGCAAAUAUUGUAGUCAUUUUAAUGGAAAUUAUGAACUAUCGUUUGAUAUACAUCCGUUUUGUUCAUCAGAAUGCAUUGUUUUUUUUAAAUGUUAUGUAUAAGCAUGAUAAGAGUACAUAUUGUUACUAACACAGGUACAGAAAUGAUAACUUAAAAAAAACCAAAGAAAGUAAGUAAGAAUAAAUCUAUUUAUUUUACUAUAAUUCUUAUUACUUGUAAGAAGGAUUCAGUUUUUUCGAGUUACCGGAAUUGAUCAGUUUAUGAUAAAGAGAUUCAAAGAAUUCCAUUAAAUCCGUCAAAUAUUAUGGCGUCAUAAUCAGUAAUCGUAUUCAGCUGUAAUCGAUUAUAUUUUGCAGUGUAAUCGUAUAAAAUCAGUAAUCAUGCCAUUUCUGAUUACAAGUAGUAGUAAUGUAAGGAAUUACAUUACAAAAAACAAGUGUUUUCAUGAUUACUUUUAGAUUACAUCAACAUGAUAACUUGCUGACUACAAAUCUUUGAAAAAAGUUUCUGAUAGACAAUAAGAAAAUAAGAAAAUGUAAAGCACAAAUAAAAAAUCAUUGAGCUAGUAUUCUCUAUGAUGGGACUCUGUUUAAUGUGAUAAAUUGUAUCACCUAUAUAUAUAACAAGUUUUUAAACCAAGCGUUCUAUUUAGUUAACAGUUAGAUCUUUUAUAUAAAGAGAGGUUACUUGUUUAUAGCAAUGAUAUCAAAUAAAACAUGUUACACUGUUCCGGUCUAAAAAAAACAUAUGACUUUACAAAAAAUCACCAAAAUUAGCUCUUUUGUGUGGAUAAAAAGUUAUAAGAAAUCGAUAUUUCAAUAUACAAAGUAAAGAUAAGUGAUCCAAAGAAACCAUAAUUACUUUAAAGAAAAGUGAUAUAAAGUAAUCAAAUACAUUUGAAAUAAGGUGUACUUGUACUGUAAUCGAUUACAUUUUAUUGCAAAGUAAUUGUAAUUCAAUCAAUUACAUUUUAAAGUAAUUGACGUCAUCCCUGCUUUAGAGCUGUCAAUCAUUCUCAGAUUGAUACACUAUUGCUUCUUGGUACACUUAUAGUCACUAAGACAGUGUUAAUAUGAUCAUCUUAAAGGCUAUAUGUAUGUGAUAUGCCUUUUGAAAUGGAUGUUAUGAUGUUAUGCAAAGCCCUUAUGCAAUAUAUAACUUUGAGGGAAAAACAAUUUACAAAAGAGAAUAGUGCUCUAACAUUUUGGUAGUAAUAAACAGCUUCAGUUGAAAUCAGUUCUAACAUCUCUAAAAGUCUGCCAGGACCGUUAGAACUUCAUUUGUAUUAUACUUUAGUUCUCAUAACAACAGUAUAUCAAAGAAAGAGGUCUACCCGAGAAUGAAUUUAGAUGUGCAAAGCCUUAACAUGGUUCAAUGUACUAACAUAUGCAAUCGCAAUCUUUUAAAUUCUAUUUCAUCACAGUCCUUAUUCUAGUGGGUACUAAUUGUGAAUCACUACUGGCCAACUUGUUUUUCUACUCCUAUAAAGUAGAUUUCAAAGAAAUAAAACUAAAGUUUUAGAGAAGUCAGAACUGAUUAUAACUGUAGCUGUUUAUUACAACCAAUACUUCUGUCCUUUAGUAUAAGGUUUCGUAAUGCAAAGGCGAGGACAAAAAUGUGAGGUUAUAACUAUCAUCUAGGGUGAUAGUAGACAAGAAUCUAGGGUUACCUGAUUGCCCCUUUGUCAAGAUGGAUGUAACGCCAGGACCAGAGGUCCGUAAAAUAAAAAUUGAUGUAUGACAGUACAAAUUUGUGUUUAAGUGCUGUCCUAAUAGUAAUAUAUAAUUCUAGAACUUAAGGUCAUCCCUUUCUCUGCCAUAGAGUUAUUCCCUGAUUUUUAUAUUCAACAUAAGAACCUGAUGUAAUGAAACUAUUUAUAGACAUAAUUAAUACAUGUAGAAAGCCCGACGUCUUUCCAUCAUUUUGAAAUGAAGAUAUUACCUCUUUAUAUCAUGGGUGGUAUUGCAAGGAUCUGAAGUCUUUAAUUUUGUUAUAUGGCAUUGUACCAAAAUGACAUUUGUUUCCUUUUCCUAUGAUGGUAUCGUACAAGGGCAUAUGGUACCACAUAUGUGAUAGAUGAUGCAUACAAAAAAUCGUAGCCCCCUUUUAAAUUGAAUGAUGUCAAACAAGUACGUGAUGUACCACUGUAUGCAUGUGAAUGUAGUAGAAUAUAUCACAUAAACAGUAAGUGCACCCUUUACAAAGGGUAGAUUUUGACCCCCUCAUUCAAUAGCCUUAUUUAGCAUGUGUUACUCCCUAUAAAUAGGGUGAUAUUAGAUAUCGGAUUAAAAUAUAGCAUAACCUAUAACUGAUUUGACUAAUCUUUUUCAAAAUUUUAUAUUAGGGAAAAUUAAAAACACUUGACAAUAGCUGUGUGCACCGUUUGUAACAUUGAAAAACACAUCAGAGGCAUGAUUACCCAGAAGCAGUGGUAGGCUUUAACACUUCGGGGGCCACAUUAUCAUAGAGGAAGGAUGCUCAUGUAUAAUCUCGAAUUUGUUUUGUUAAGCUCACAAAUGAUAUCGAAGCUAGUUUAGAGAUUAGCGGGGAGUUAAAACAAAUGUCCAUUUAUUUUAGUCUUCAAAGUACAAGAAUACCAAGCGAUGUACCAACUCAUGAGUCGAAGAAUAAAUAACACUACAAAAAGACAACCAUCAGUCUACAAUAUACAAUAUAGAAAGGCAUGACAAACUCUUACCCAAACAAACAUGUACAGCGGCGGAAAAUUCUUUUUUGUCUUCGAUCAGCUGCGUACGUUCGACUCUUUGCAUGCUUUAUGAAAAACAAGUUCUUGACAUUUCCCGAUUUUCACAUUUGGCAUCAUUCCUUUUAAUGGUUUGUUCAAUCAUUGGUACUUACAUUUAUUUGCUCUUAAAGAAGAGUGUUUAAAGUACAGUUUCAUCUAGUGUGUUUCUGUAAAAAAAACAACUUCGAUGUCAGAUUUUUCCUCUUUGUGAAAAAGAUAACUAUCAAGUUUUAGUGGUUUUUAUAUGAUAUAACAUGUAUCUACACAAAUAUACGCGUGUGACAUGUAUGUGUCUAUUAAUAUGUGUGUGUUUUGAUAACUGAAUUACUUUAUUUUUAGUGAAAUGGAAAAGAAGAAAAGAGAUUUGGCUUCAGAUGAAUUUUUGGAAUGUUCAUAGCUGCACCAAUGAUACAACUAAUGAAUGUCUACCACCGGUCUCAAUUUAAGAGCUUAAUAAUGUCAAAGAAAUGCCUUUAAUUGAUACGUAAACAACAAAAAUGAAUUAUUCAGAUAACGACCUCGUCAACAUAACUAGUAACGGAAACGACCUGAGUGACACUUUGUUAACUAUAUUAUUUUUUGACACCAUUUUGUUGACUUUCUAUCUCUUAAUCGGUGUUUCAGUUAACGUUUGUGCUGUUUUUCUUCUCAGGAGAGCGGUUCGCAGGACAACUGACUUUCUCGGGGAAGAUAACGUGAGAUAUCAAACAUUUUUCGUAAUGAUUGAGUUAACAGCAUGUGUUAUAGGAACGUCGAGUUUUAUAGCAAUUAACACUAAUCCAGUUGAUUUUUACGGCGAAUCACUUUGUACACUAAUGUUAGGAAGUAACAUGUUGUUUGCAAACUUAUCUGGAUCAUCAAUCGUACAUUAUCAUAUAACGAGUUUUUUUCGAUAUAUGUUAGUUUUCAUAAGACACAAACAAAUGAUGAUAUUAAGGUACAGCGGUGUAGUAUUUGCCUUAUUUUUUUCAAUUCCGUCCUUCAUAUUCUACGGGGAAACCGAUAUAGACUUUGAAAUCCAGAACAUAACCGUUUCGGGAAAAAUUUGUGGGGUCUCGAGAAAAGCUGACAAUUAUUCAUUUGUUCAAGCAUACCCGAUCGUUGUAUUGACAAUUUAUAUUAUUGAGUUUUUAUUCAUUGUUUUUGUAAGUAUUUUGGUAAAAGAUAGGUUAUCAUCAGGUUUACCAUUAAGGACAAACAAAAAAACAAGAAUACAGCCAGGCUUUAAAUAUACUUCGACGUCAAAAAUAAGAGUCGUCAAUAGUGGAACAGUUGAUAACUCAAAACCUCCAGACAAUUCCAAAAUCAUUGACCUUUAUGCAGACAAAGAUUGUUCAGUCGUAGACUUGGAUGUGCUGACUUGCAGUUCUUGUAAUGAAACAAAACGGAAAACUUGUGACAGGUUAUUAGCAUCAAAUUAUGAUUUGAUAAUGGAUCAAAAAAUAUGCGUUUCUGAUAACACGAAAUCAAGUAAUCAGACUCCUGUCGAGCCUGAGUACAUGAAAAUUAAAACAACGAAAGAAUGUUGUAUAUCUUGUCAUAAAAAAAUCUGUUUUCGUAAAGCACCAUCUUUUUUCAGUGGAAUCAUUUUAUUUGCUACAUCGACACUACCAAGAGCUAUUAUAAUGAUUCUUGAAUCUAACGAUAAAAACUUUUGGAGCAAACUGAGCAAAACAGAGUACAUGUUAUACAACUUUCUCUAUCGAGUUUAUUUAUUACAAUGCGUAUUGCAUCCAUUUAUCUAUUAUUGGUAUGCUAUGAAAGGUCAAUUCAAAAGAGAAAUUCGAAGAUGCAGAUUGAGAAAUAUAGAUUCCACACUCCAAGAAGUACAUUACGAUAUUUCUACACUCGAGACAGUUCAAUUGUAAUAUUUAAAGGGCGAGGCUUGCCGAGAAAAUUUAAAAAGUAUUUAUUAUUACAAAUAUAAAACUUCAAUUUUAGGUUUAAGUUUAAUUAAUCUUGAUAACAUUAAAUUUACAGCGUUUAUUUCUUUUUUAAUUUACGCAAAUUAUUAUAUAUAUAAUUUAGAUAUCUGUUUCACAUUAGACAUGUUAGAUUUAUAACA